rnacentral:rRNA from 1 species
CACGCCCUAAACGAUGCACACUAGUUGUUGUGAGGCUCGACCUUGCAGUAAUGCAGUUAACACAUUAAGUGUGCCGCCUGGGGAGUACGGUCGCAAGAUUAAAACUCAAAGGAAUAGACGGGGACCCGCACAAGCGGUGGAGCAUGUGGUUUAAUUCGACGAUACACGAAGAACCUUACCUGGACUUGACAUAGUAAGAACUAUCUAGAGAUAGAUGGGUGUCUGCUUGCAGAAACUUAUAUACAGGUGC